UACCAGUGGAAUAAGCGUGGUGUUGGUGGCUGGCUGCACUAGACAUCUAUUCUUCCACCUCUGAGGAAGAAAGAAGUCCCCGAAGAAACACAAAUAACACUGUGUCCUGCAUCCUCCAACAGCUCAUAUUCUGAGACCUUGGUUUGUAUGUAAGAGUCAGGAGCACCUCCUGGUGAGCAUGUCAUUGUGGAUAAACCCCCCUGUCUUUUAAUGUAUAAAUCCCCAGGAAACCACCUGGACCCACUUAGACAGAUAAAUUCAUUAUUUGGGACUAUCAAACACCUGACUGAUCUUUAUGCCCAGCUGACUUUCCACAACUCCUCUGAUUGGUUGUACUCGAUACAUAGGGCUGACCGUGGCUGACUUCCAGAGAAUUGUGUGCCUCUAGAAAGCAUUAUCAGCUAAUGUUGGAGAUGCUAAUUCUCUGCAUGUCUCAAGAAUUGGUGGACCAGAUCAAUUGGUGAAUGCUGACAAUGGAUUUGGAUUCCAGGAUUAUUAGUUCAACUACCAGAGAACUGGAUUUUAUGUCAGAAGAUAAUUCUAAGAAUAUUUUAUCUUCAAAGAUGGGUAUUAAGAAUUUGGUAUUCUUGAAUAAAUAAGCCUAAAUGCAAAUGCAACAACUUGCCGCCAACUUGCUUGAGGAGAAUAUUAACUUCGAAGUGACGUUUGCUAAGAAGUAGUGAAUUUCUGAAGGUUAAGAUGCAGAGAUUUCAGUGUACUUUCCCUCAUUCCCUUGUUUUAGCUAAUUACUUGGCUGCUGAAACUGCAAUGGAUGUAAAUCAAGCAACAAGGCAGUAAAUCUUAGUGUAACAGAUUAUGAAUUCAUGUCAUGUGUGUGUGUAUAUAUGUUUUGUACAUGGUGUGAACUUCAGAUUUUAGAGUGACAAAGAUAAUUUUAUAUGUAAUUCCACUGCUAGCUAAUGUUAAGAUUUUGUCAUAAAGUCUAUGCACAUGACAAUUAGUUAAUGACCAGAGUAAAUAAAUGUCAGCAGCAACGAAUAAGACAAGUUGUAUCCACCAAUCAAUUAGAUCGCUGUGGAAUCAGCAUUAAAAAUGUGAUUGGCUGCUACCCGGGACAUUGAGUUUUAAACUGCUAGCUGUGCCCACACUCUCCUGUGUGAAGACUUUACCCGCUGCUGCUGCUUCUUGCAUUCUAAAUUUAAACAAAAUCUAAACCAUCUUUUAAUUUGUGGGGAAACAUGUAGACAUUGUGAAGAAAUAUUAUUCUGAAGCCAUUUUUGGUUUUUACUUAUUGAUUAUCUCACAGUUAUGAGAUUAAAUAGCACUAAUAAGCUCAGUAUUCAACAUACUAAUGAUUAUUUUUGCUGUCAGUUUCACUUUGUGCCAAAACAAUCAAUGGCACGAUAAAGGGGCACUGUCUUCAUAAAAGUCUGCUUGCAAAAGUAAACCAUCUUUCAUUGAAAUUUUUGGUUUGGGGAAGAAAAGGCCUUGUGAAACAUUAUCAUAAUCACUGUGAUAUGUGAGACAGAGUAUACAUA